rnacentral:rRNA from 1 species
CACGUAGGGUGCGAGCGUUGUCCGGAAUUAUUGGGCGUAAAGAGCUCGUAGGCGGUGUGUCGCGUCGGCCGUGAAAACCUGCAGCUUAACUGUGGGCUUGCGGUCGAUACGGGCAUCACUGGAGUUCGGCAGGGGAGACUGGAAUUCCUGGUGUAGCGGUGAAAUGCGCAGAUAUCAGGAGGAACACCGGUGCGAAGGCGGUUCUCUGGGCAUGUCCUGACGCUGAGGAGCGAAAGUGUGGGAGCGAACAGG